AACCUGCGGAAGGAUCAUUGUCGAAACCUGCACAGCAGAACGACCCGCGAACGCGUCUAUCUACGCAAGGGCGAGCUCGGGCGCUUCGGCCCCCGCGCGAGCCCAAAGGCCGAGCCGGGUGCUGCUGGGAAAUGCCUCGGCCCUUCCCGCACGCUCGACCCGGUCCACAAACCAACCCCGGCGCAGGACGCGCCAAGGAAACACGAAACGAGAAGAGCACGCGCCCGUCGGCCCCGGAAACGGGCAGCCUCAGGGAUGCGCUGUCCUCUAUCUAUAACCAAAACGACUCUCGGCAACGGAUAUCUCGGCUCUCGCAUCGAUGAAGAACGCAGCGAAAUGCGAUACUUGGUGUGAAUUGCAGAAUCCCGCGAACCAUCGAGUCUUUGAACGCAAGUUGCGCCCGAAGCCUUUCGGCCGAGGGCACGUCUGCCUGGGUGUCACGCAACGUCGCUCCCACCCCGUGUGGGGGCGGAUUCUGGCCUCCCGUGCGCCGGUCGGCCGCGGUUGGCCCAAAAGCCUAGUCCCCGGCUGCGAAUGCCACGACAAUCGGUGGUUGUAAGACCCUCGGACACGGUCGUGCGCGGACGCACGCCCCGGAACAUCGAGACCCCUCUGCGUCCCUAAGGGCACGCUCCCAUCGCGACCCCAGGUCAGGCGGGACUACCCGCUGAGUUUAA
rnacentral:rRNA from 1 species